rnacentral:rRNA from 1 species
AGUGAACGCUGGCGGUAGGCCUAACACAUGCAAGUCGAACGGCAGCACAGGAGAGCUUGCUCUCUGGGUGGCGAGUGGCGGACGGGUGAGGAAUACAUCGGAAUCUACUCUGUCGUGGGGGAUAACGUAGGGAAACUUACGCUAAUACCGCAUACGACCUACGGGUGAAAGCAGGGGAUCUUCGGACCUUGCGCGAUUGAAUGAGCCGAUGUCGGAUUAGCGAGUUGGCGGGGUAAAGGCCCACCAAGGCGACGAUCCGUAGCUGGUCUGUGAGGCUGAUCAGCCACACUGGAACUGAGACACGGUCCAGACUCCUACGGGAGGCAGCAGUGGGGAAUAUUGGACAAUGGGCGCAAGCCUGAUCCAGCCAUACCGCGUGGGUUAAGAAGGCCUUCGGGUUGUAAAGCCCUUUUGUUGGGAAAGAAAUCCAGCUGGCUAACACCCGGUUGGGAUGACGGUACCCAAAGAAUAAGCACCGGCUAACUUCGUGCCAGCCGCCGCAGUAA